AUUGAACGCUGGCGGCAGGCCUAACACAUGCAAGUCGAGCGAGCGGCGGACGGGUGAGUAAUGUCUGGGAAACUGCCUGAUGGAGGGGGAUAACUACUGGAAACGGUAGCUAAUACCGCAUACCAUCAGAUGUGCCCAGAUGGGAUUAGCUAGUAGGUGGGGUAACGGCUCACCUAGGCGACGAUCCCUAGCUGGUCUGAGAGUAUGACCAGCAACAUUGGAACGGAGACACGGUCCAGACUCCUACGGGAGGCAGCAUGGGGGAAUAUUGCACAAUGGGCGCAAGCCUGAUGCAGCCAUGCCGCGGGGGUGAAGAAGGCCUUAGGGGUGUAAAGCACGUUCAGCGGGGAGGCGUUACCCGCAGAAGAAGCACCGGCUAACUCCGUGCCAGCAGCCGCGGUAAUUC
rnacentral:rRNA from 1 species